GAUGAACGCUGGCGGCGUGCCUAAUACAUGCAAGUCGAGCGAACAGAUAAGGAGCUUGCUCCUUUGACGUUAGCGGCGGACGGGUGAGUAACACGUGGGUAACCUACCUAUAAGACUGGGAUAACUUCGGGAAACCGGAGCUAAUACAGGAUAAUAUUUCGAACCGCAUGGUUCGAUAGUGAAAGAUGGUUUUGCUAUCACUUAUAGAUGGACCCGCGCCGUAUUAGCUAGUUGGUAAGGUAACGGCUUACCAAGGCGACGAUACGUAGCCGACCUGAGAGGGUGAUCGGCCACACUGGAACUGAGACACGGUCCAGACUCCUACGGGAGGCAGCAGUAGGGAAUCUUCCGCAAUGGGCGAAAGCCUGACGGAGCAACGCCGCGUGAGUGAUGAAGGUCUUCGGAUCGUAAAACUCUGUUAUUAGGGAAGAACAUACGUGUAAGUAACUGUUCACGUCUUGACGGUACCUAAUCAGAAAGCCACGGCUAACUACGUG
rnacentral:rRNA from 1 species